UCCAUUUAUGGACUAAAGCAAGCUUCCCGAAGUUGGAACAUAAGAUUUGAUGAGGCAAUCAGAUCUUAUGACUUCGUUAAGAACGAGGAUGAGCCUUAUGUGUACAGGAAGGUAAGUGGAAGCGCUAUCACCUUUUUGGUGUUAUAUGUUGUAACACCCCUCAUUUCCGAAUGUUCGUAUAAAUUUUUGGUGAUAAUGUAAGCAUCUAUUUUAAUUGACAAAAGAAAUAGAGUAUGAAUCAGAGGUAACUUAUUGUUAAGAUUUGGGAGAUCUGUUCAAAAAAAAAAAAAAAAAAAAAAAAAAAAGAAAGAAUCUGAGGACCUAUAUGUAAACCCUAAGGACCUAAUCGUGAAUAUGAUAAAAACGAGGACUAAACUGCAAAAUGCACCAAAUGACAAACUCCACCGCUUAAGCCUCUCUGCCUUCGUUGUUAAGGAAGCAGAGGAGGCAGCUCGUGGGUGAUCAGGGAAAGAAAAGAAGAAGAAGAAGAAGAAGAAGAAGAAGGAGAAGAGAAAGAAAAUUUGGGGCUUUUAGGGUUUUUGCUUUAAUCUUGUUACUUCGGGUCAAAAUUUGCAAAGGAUAGCGUAACUCUUGCUUAAAUGUUAAGAAUGGGCUGAGGCAGCUGAAAGUUUAGAAGACGUUGGGCAGAACUUUUGUUAGCAUAUAUGUAGUUGUGUAUAAGCUACCUUGUAUCUAAUGAAAUGUGACUAUGAAUCUAAACCUGUGGAUUUUGUGUAAGUUAAAGGAUCCCUCAUGUAUAGGGUUUUGGUAUGUUAAAUUAAAUUUGUGUAAGGAUAUGAACUUAUGGUAAAUCGAUGAUUGUGGUGACUGCAUAGAUUUUCCCCACUUGUGGAUUUAUAUUGUGGUUUUUA